rnacentral:rRNA from 1 species
UACGAAGGGGGCUAGCGUUGCUCGGAAUCACUGGGCGUAAAGCGCACGUAGGCGGAUUGCUAAGUCAGGGGUGAAAUCCUGGAGCUCAACUCCAGAACUGCCUUUGAUACUGGAGACCUUGAGUCCGGGAGAGGUGAGUGGAACUGCGAGUGUAGAGGUGAAAUUCGUAGAUAUUCGCAAGAACACCAGUGGCGAAGGCGGCUCACUGGCCCGGUACUGACGCUGAGGUGCGAAAGCGUGGGGAGCAAACAGG